UACGUAGGGACCAAGCGUUGUUCGGAUUUACUGGGCGUAAAGGGCGCGUAGGCGGCUUAACAAGUCACUUGUGAAAUCUCCGGGCUUAACUCGGAACGGCCAAGUGAAACUGUCAAGCUAGAGUGCAGAAGGGGCAAUCGGAAUUCUUGGUGUAGCGGUGAAAUGCGUAGAUAUCAAGAGGAACACCUGAGGUGAAGACGGGUUGCUGGGCUGACACUGACGCUGAGGCGCGAAAGCCAGGGGAGCAGACGGG
rnacentral:rRNA from 1 species